GUGAAGACGAGACACAAAUCUAUGUGGCUUCCGAACAACACGAUCCGAAACCCCGCAUUUUUUUAUUUUUUUAAUAUUUUUCAUUUACUUAGGAGCACUAAAGAAGUAACCACAGAAAAUUUGAGCUUAAUCAAGUAAAAGACGUGGCCUGCGGAAUUUUGUGAAGAUUACAAAAAAUGUGAAAAAAACUUCACAAGGUGAAAACUCAAACUUCGAAGACGAAUUUGGAGAUUCUAAAAUUUUCAAACCCCCUAAAACUGAGGACAGACAGACACUAAAUUUUUUUUUGAUCGAUUUUGAUAUAUGGAACAUUGAAAUCGGAGUUUGUAUGUGAAAGUUAUGGCUGUUUUACGAACGGACUCCGAAUUUGAGGACAAAACGGUCCGAAAGUGGGAAAAAGUUGCGUCGAUGGCUAGAAAUUGAUGGAAACGGUGGGAAAAAACACAAACUGGACUCUAACAAGACCUAACCAGCAACAAGACCUCGUCCAGGACACAAACUCAAAACUGCGGACUCGGAAACUGAAAUAUGCAAAGGCUAUGGCGCGGAAGGGUUGUAGGACACAAAAAUGAUAUGGCACUGGACUUAUGGGACAAACACAAGAACACUCGAAACUAAGGUUAGAUGUGAACCUAACGGUAUACCUGAACCUUUGAUUACCACUUGAUGAGAACAAGGGUGGCCCGAUCUUCCGAAAGGUUCUGUUAACUCUCGAUUUGGUGGAGACGAGACACAAAUCGAUCCGGCUUCCGAACAACACGAUCCGAAACCCUGCAAUUUUUUUUAUUUUUUUGAUAUUUUUCUUUUACUUAGGUGCACUAAAGAAGUAACCACAGAAAAUUUGAGCUUAAAUAAGUGAAAGACGUGGCCUGCGAAAUUUUCUAAAUUUUGUGAAAAAAGUUUAAAAAACUUCACGAGGUGAAAACUUAAACUUCGGAGGCGUAUUUGGAAAUUCUAAAAUUUUCAAACCCGCUAGUGGUAGGGACAGGCAGACCCAAAAUUUUUUUCUGAUUGAUUUUGAUAUAUGGAACAUUGAAAUCGGAGUUCGUACGCGAAUGUUAUGGCUAUUUUACGAACGGACUCUGAAUUAGAGAACAAAACGGUCCGAAAGUGGGAAAAAUUUGUGGCGAUGGCUAGAAAUUGAUGGAAACGGUGGGGAAAAACAUACUAACUGGACUCUAACAAGACCUAACCAGCAACAACCUCGACCAGGACACAAACUCAAAACUGCGGACUCUGAAUCUGAAAUAUGCAAAAGCUAUGGCGCGGAAGGGUUGUAGAACAGGAAAACAAUAUGGCACUGGACUUAUGGGACGAACACAAGAACACUCGAAACUAAGGGUAGAUGUGAACCUAACGGUAUACCUAAAGCUUUGAUUACCACUUGAUGAGAACAAGGGUGGCCCGAUCUUCCGAAAAGUUUUGGUAACUCUCGAUUUGGUGGAGACGAGACACAAAUCGAUACAGCUUCUGAAUAACACGAUCCGAAACCCUGCAUUUUUUUAUUUUUUUGAUAUUUUUAUUUUACUUAGGAGUGCUAAAGGAGUAACCACAGAAAAUUUGAGCUUAAGCAAGUGACAGACAUGGCCUGUGGAAUUUUCUGAAGAUUGUGAAAAAUGUGAAAAAACUUCACGUAUUGGAAACUCAAACUUCGGAGGCGAAUUUCAGGAUUCUAAAAUUGUCAAACCUGCGAAAGUUAGGGACAAACAGAUUUGAAAUUUUUUCUGAUUUAUUUUGAUAUAUGAAACGUUGAAAUCGGAGUUCGUAUGCGAAGGUUAUGGCUGUUUUACGAACAUACUUCGAAUUAGAGGACAAAACGGUUCGAAAAUGGGAAAAUUUUGCGGCGGUGGCAAGAAAUUGAUGGAAACGGUGGGGAAAAGAUAUGAACUGGACUCUAACAAGACCUAACCAGCAACAAAACCUCGACCAGGACACAAACUCAACACUGCAGACUCUGAAACUGAAAUAUGCAAAGGCUAUGGCGCGGAAGGGUUGUAGGACAGGAAAACGAUAUGGCACUGGACUUAUGGGACGAACACAAGAACACUCAAUACUAAGGUUAGAUGUGAACCUAACAGUAUACCUGAAGCUUUGAUUACAACUUGAUGAGAACAAGGGUGGCCCGAUCUUCUGAAAGGUUCUCAUAACUCUCGAUUUGGUGAAGACGAGACACAAAUCGAUCUGGCUUCCAAACAACACAAUCCGAAACCCCGCAUUUUUUUAUUUUUUUAAUAUUUUCCUUUUACUUAGGAGCACUAAAGAAGUAACCACAUAAAAUUUGAGCUUAAUCAAGUAAAAGACGUGGCCUGCGGAAUUUUGUGAAGAUUACAAAAAAUGUGAAAAAAACUUCACAAGGUGAAAACUCAAACUUCGAAGACGAAUUUGGAGAUUCUAAAAUUUUCAAACCCCCCAAAACCGAGGACAGACAGACACUAAAUUUUUUUCUGCUCGAUUUUGAUAUAUGGAACAUUGAAAUCGGAGUUUGUAUGUGAAAGUUAUGGCUGUUUUACGAACGGACUCCGAAUUAGAGGACAAAACGGUCCGAAAGUGGGAAAAAGGUUCGGCGAUGGCUAGAAAUUUAUGGAAACGGUGGGAAAAAAAAUACAAACUGGACUCUAACAAGACCUAACCAGCAACAAGACCUCGACCAGGACACAAACUCAAAAUUGCGGACUCAGAAACUGAAAUAUGCAAAGGCUAUGGCGCGAGAGGGUUGUAGGACACAAAAAUGAUAUGGCACUGGACUUAUGGGACAAACAUAAGAACACUCGAAACUAAGGGUAGAUGUGAACCUAACGGUAUACCUGAAGCUUUGAUUACCACUUCAUGAGAACAAGGGUGGCCCGAUCUUCCCAAAGGUUCUGUUAACUCUCGAUUUGGUGGAGACGAGACACAAAUCGAUCCGGCUUCCGAACAACACGAUCCGAAACCCUGCAAUUUUUUUUUAUUUUUUUGAUAUUUUUCUUUUACUUAGGUGCAUUAAAGAAGUAACCACAGAAAAUAUGAGCUUAAACAAGUGAAAGACGUGGCCUGCGGAAUUUUCUAAAUUUUGUGAAAAUGUGAAAAAAACUUCACGAGGUGAAAACUUAAACUUCGGAGGCGUAUUUGGAAAUUCUAAAAUUUUCAAACCCGCUAGUGGUAGGGACAGGUAGAGCCGAAAUUUUUUUCUGAUUGAUUUUGAUAUAUGGAACGUUGAAAUCGGAGUUUGUACGCGAAUGUUAUGGCUAUUUUACGAACGGACUCCGAAUUAGAGAACAAAACGGUCCGAAAGUGGGAAAAAUUUGCGGCGAUGGCUAGAAAUUGAUGAAAACGGUGGGGAAAAACAUACUAACUGAACUCUAACAAGACCUAACCAGCAACAACCUCGAUCAGGACACAAACUCAAAACUGCGGACUCUCAAUCUAAAAUAUGUAAAAGCUAUGGCGCGGAAGGGUUGUAGAACAGGAAAACAAUAUGGCACUGGACUUAUGGGACGAACACAAGAACACUAGAAACUAAGAGUAGAUGUGAACCUAGCGGUAUACCUAAAGCUUUGAUUACCACUUGAUGAGAACAAGGGUGGCCCGAUCUUACGAAAAGUUAUGUUAACUCUCGAUUUGGUGGAGACGAGACACAAAUCGAUACAGCUUCUGAACAACACGAUCCGAAACCCUAUAUUUUUUUUAUUUUUUUGAUAUUUUUAUUUUACUUAGGAGUGCUAAAGGAGUAACCACAGAAAAUUUGAGCUUAAGCAAGUGAAAGACAUGGCCUGUGGAAUUUUCUGAAGAUUGUGAAAAAUGUGAAAAAACUUCACGUAUUGGAAACUCAAACUUCGAAGGCGAAUUUUAGGAUUCUAAAAGUGUCAAACCCGCGAAACUUAGGGACAACCAGAUCUGAAAUUUUUUUCUGAUCGAUUUUGAUAUAUGAAACAUUGAAAUCGGAGUUCGUAUGCGAAAGUUAUGGCUGUUUUACGAACAGACUUCGAAUUAGAGGACAAAACGGUCCGAAAGUGGAAAAAUUUUGCGCCGGUGGCCAGAAAUUGAUGGAAACGGUGCGGAAAACACAUGAACUGGACUCUAACAAGACCUAACCAGCAACAAGACCUCGACUAGGACACAAACUCAACACUGCGGACUCUGAAACUGAAAUAUGCAAAGGCAAUGGCGCGGAAGGGUUGUAGGAAAGGAAAACUAUAUAGCACUGGACUUAUGGAACGAACACAAGAACACUCAAAACUAAGGCUAGAUGUGAACCUAAUGGUAUAUAUGAAGCUUUGAUUACCAUUUGAUGAGAACAAGGGUGGCACGAUCUUCUGAAAGGUUCUAGUAACUCUCGAUUUGGUGAAGACGAGACACAAAUCGAUAUGGCUUCCGAACAACACGAUCCGAAACCCCGCAUUUUUUUUAUUUUUUUAAUAUUUUCCUUUUACUUAGGAGCACUAAAGAAGUAACCACAGAAAAUUUGAACUUAAUCGAGUAAAAGACGUGGGCUGCGGAAUUUUGUGAAGAUUACACAAAAUGUGAAAAAAACUUCACAAGGUGAAAACUCAAACUUCGAAGACGAAUUUGGAGAUUCUAAAAUUUUCAAACCCCCUAAAACCGAGGACAGACAGACACUAUAUUUUUUCUGAUCGAUUUUGAUAUAUGGAACAUUGAAAUCGAAGUUUGUAUGUGAAAGUUAUGGCUGUUUUACGAACGGACUCCGAAUUAGAGGACAAAACGGUCCGAAAGUGGGAAAAUUUUGCGGCGGUGGCAAGAAAUUGAUGGAAACGGUGGGGAAAACACAUGAACUGGACUCUAACAAGACCUAACCAGCAACAAGACCUCGACCAGAACACAAACUCAACACUGCGGACUCUGAAACUGAAAUAUGCAAAGGUUAUGGCGCGGAAGGGUUGUAGGACAGGAAAACGAUAUGGCACUGGACUUAUGGGACGAACACAAGAACACUCAAAACUAAGGGUAGAUGUGAACCUAACGGUAUACCUGAAGCUUUGAUUACCACUUGAUAAGAACAAGGAUGGUCCGAUCUUCUGAAAGGUUCUGGUAACUCUUGAUUUGGUGGAGACGAGACAUAAAUUGAUCCGGCUUCCGAACAACACGAUCCGAAACCCUGCAAAUUUUUUAUUUUUUUGAUAUUUUUCUAUUACUUAGGUGCACUAAAGAAGUAACCAUAGAAAAUUUGAGCUUAAACAAGUGAAAGACGUGGCCUGCAGAAUUUUGUGAAGAUUACAAAAAAUGUGAAAAAAACUUCACAAGGUGAAAACUCAAAAUUCGAAGACGAAUUUGGAGAUUCUAAAAUUUUCAAACCCCCUAAAACCGAGGACAGACAGACACUAUAUUUUUUCUCAUCGAUUUUGAUAUAUGGAACAUUGAAAUCGAAGUUUGUAUGUGAAAGUUAUGGCUGUUUUACGAACGGACUCCGAAUUAGAGGACAAAACGGUCCGGAAGUGGGAAUAAUUUGUGGUGGUGGCUAGAAAUUGAUGGAAAUGGUGGGCAAAAACAUACCAACUAGACUCUAACAAGACCUAACCAGCAACAUCCUCGACCAGGACACAAACUUAAAAUUGCGGACUCUGAAACUGAAAUAUGCAAAGGCUAUUGCGCGGAAGGGUUGUAGGACAAGAAAACGAUAUGGCACUGGACUUAUGGGACGAAUACAAGAACACUCGAAACUAAGGGUAGAUGUGAACCUAACGGUAUACCUGAAGCUUUAUUACCACUUGAUGAAAUCAAGGGUGGCCCGAUCUUUCGACAGGUUCUGGUAACUCUCGAUUUGGUGGAGACGAGACAUAAAUCAAUGCGGCUUCCAAACAACGCGAUCUGAAACCCUGCAAUUUUUUUAUUUUAUUGAUAUUUUUAUUUUACUUAGGAGCAUUAAAGAAGUAACCAUAGAAAAUUUGAGCUUAAACAAGUAAAUGACGUGGCCUGCUGAAUUUUCUGAAGAUUGCGAAAAAUGUGAAAAAAACUUCACAAGGUGAAAACUCAAACUUCGGAGGUGAAUUUGGAGAAUCUAAAACUUUCAAAGCCGCAAAUAGCAGUGACAGACAGAUCCGAAUUUUUUUGAUCGAUUUUGAUAUAUCGAACAUUGAAAUCGGAGUUUGUAUGUGCAAGUUAUGGCUGUUUUACGAACGGACUCCGAAUUAGAGGACAAAACGGUCCGAAAGUGGGAAAAACUUGCAGCGAUGGCUAGAAACUGAUGGAAACGUUGGGGAAAAAACACGAACUGAACUCUAACAAGACCUAACCAGCAACAAGACCUCGACCAGGACACAAACUCAAAACUGCAGACUCGGAAACUGAAAUAUGCAAAGGCUAUGGCGCGGAAGGGUUGUAGGACACAAAAACGAUAUGGCACUGGACUUAUGGGACGAACACAAGAACACUCGAAACUAAGGGUAGAUGUGAACCUAAAUAUAUACCUGAAGCUUUGAUUACUACUUGAUGAGAACAAGGGUGGCCCGAUCUUCCGAAAGGUUCUGUUAACUCUCGAUUUAGUGGAGACGAGACACAAAUCGAUCCGGCUUCCGAACAACACGAAGGCAAACCCUGCAAUUUUUUUAUUUUUUUAUGUUUUUCUUUUACUUAGGUGCACUAAAGAAGUAACCACAGAAAAUUUGAGCUUAAACAAGUGAAAGACGUGGCUUGCAGAAUUUUCUAUAGAUUGUGAAAAAUGUGAAAAAAACUUCACGAGGUGAAAACUUAAACUUCGGAGGUGUAUUUGGAAGUUCUAAAUUUUUCAAACCCGCUUGUGGUAGGGACAGGCAAACCCGAAAUUUUUUCUGAUUGAUUUUGAUAUAUGGAACGUUGAAAUCGGAGUUCGUACGCGAAUGUUAUGGCUAUUUUACAAACGAACUGCGAAUUAGAGUACAAAACGGUCCGAAAGUGGGAAAAAUUUGCGGCGGUGCCCAGAAAUUGAUGGAAACGGUGGGGAAAAACAUACUAACUGGACUCUAACAAGACCUAACCAGCAACAACCUCGACCAGGACACAAACUCAAAACAACGGACUCUGAAUCUGAAAUAUGGAAAAGCUAUGGCGCGGAAGGGUUGUAGAACAGGAAAACAAUAUGGCACUGGACUCAUGGGACGAACAUAAGAACACAAGAAACUAAGGGUAGAUGUGAACCUAACGGUACACCUAAAGCUUUGAUUACCACUUGAUGAGAACAAGGGUGGCCCGAUCUUCCGAAAGGUUUUGGUAACUCUCGAUUUGGUGGAGAUGAGACACAAAUCGAUACGGCUUAUGAACAACACGAUCCGAAACCCUACAUUUUUUUUAUUUUUUUGAUAUUUUUAUUUUACUUAGGAGCACUAAAGGAGUAACCACAGAAAAUUUGAGCUUAAACAAGUGAAAGACAUGGCCUGUUGAAUUUCUCAAGAUUGUGAAAAAUGUGAAAAGAACUUCACGUAUUGGAAACUCAAACUUCGGAGGCGAAUUUCAAGAUUCUAAAAUUGUCAAACACGCAAAAGUGAGGGACAAACAUAUCUCAAAUUUUUUCUUAUCGAUUUUGAUAUAUGGAACGUUGAAAUCGGAGUUCGUAUGCGAAAGUUAUGGCUGUUUUACGAACAGACUCCGAAUUAGAGGACAAAACGAUCCGAAAGUGGGAAUAAUUCGCGGUGGUGGCUAGAAAUUGAUGGAAAUGGUGGGGAAAAACAUACGAACUAGACUCUAACAAGACCUAACCAGCAACAUCCUCGACCAAGACACAAACUCAAAAUUGCGGACUCUGAAACUGAAAUAUGCAAAGGCUAUUGCGCGGAAGGGUUGUAGAACAAGAAAACGAUAUGGCACUGGACUUAUGGGACGAAUACAAGAACACUCGAAACUAAGUGUAGAUGUGAACCUAACGGUAUACCUGAAGCUUUAUUACCACUUGAUGAGAUCAAGGGUGGCCCGAUCUUUCGACAGGUUCUGGUAACUCUCGAUUUGGUGGAGACGAGACACAAAUCAAUGCGGCUUCCAAACAACGCGAUCUGAAACCCUGCAAUUUUUUUAUUUUAUUGAUAUUUUUAUUUUACUUAGGAGCAUUAAAGAAGUAACCAUAAAAAAUUUGAGCUUAAACAAGUAAAAGACGUUUCCUGCAGAAUUUUCUGAAGAUCGCAAAAAAUGUGAAAAAAACAUCACAAGGUGAAAACUGAAACUUCGGAGGUGAAUUUGGAGAUUCUAAAACUUUCAAACCCGUAAAUAGCAGUAACAGACAGAUCCGAAUUUUUUUGAUCGAUUUUGAUAUAUGGAACAUUAAAAUCGGAGUUUGUAUGUGCAAGUUAUAGCUGUUUUACGAACGGACUCUGAAUCAGAGGACAAAACGGUCCGAAAGUGGGAAAAAGUUGCAGCGAUGGCUAGAAAUUGAUGGAAACGUUCGGAAAAAAACACGAACUAGACUCUAACAAGACCUAACCAGCAACAAGUCCUCGACCAGGACACAAACUCAAAACUGCAGACUCGGAAACUGAUAUAAAAAGGCUAUGGCGCGGAAGGGUUGUAGGACACAAAAACGAUAUGGCACUGGACUUAUGGGACGAACACAAGAACACUCGAAACUAAGGGUAGAUGUGAACCUAACGGUAUACCUGAAGCUUCGAUUACCACUUGAUGAGAACAAGGGUGGCCGGAUCUUCUGAAAGGUUCUGUUAACUCUCGAUUUGGUGGAGACGAGACACAAAUCGAUCCGGCUUCCGAACAACACGAAGGCAAACCCUGCAAUUUUUUUUAUUUUUUUGAUAUUUUUCUUUUACUUAGGUGCACUAAAGAAGUAACCACAGAAAAUUUGAGCUUAAUCAAGUGAAAGACGUGGCCUGCAGAAUUUUGUAAAGAUUGUGAAAAAUGUGAAAAAAAACUUCACAAGGUGAUAACUUAAACUUCGGAGGUGUAUUUGGAAAUUUUAAAAUUUUCAAUCCCGCUAGUGGUAGGGACAGGCAAACCCGAAAUUUUUUCUGAUUGAUUUUGAUAUAUGGAACAUUGAAAUCGGAGUUCGUACGCGAAUGUUAUGGCUAUUUUACGAACAGACUCCGAAUUAGAGAACAAAACGGUCCGAAAGUGGGAAAAAUUUGCGGCGGUGGCUAGAAAUUGAUGGAAACCUGCGGACUUUGAAUGUGAAAUAUGCAAAAGCUAUGGCGCGGAAGGGUUGUAGAAUAGGAAAAUAAUAUGGCACUGGACUUAUGGGACGAACACAAGAACACUCGAAACUAAGGGUAGAUGUGAACCUAACGGUAUACCUAAAGCUUUGAUUACCACUUGAUGAGAACAAGGAUGGCCCGAUCUUCCGAAAGGUUCUGGUAACUCUCGAUUUGGUGGAGACGAGACACAAAUCGAUACGGCUUCUGAACAACACAAUCUGAAACCCUUCAUUUUUUUAUUUUUUUGAUAUUUUUAUUUUACUUAGGAGCACUAAAGGAGUAACCACAUAAAAUUUGAGCUUAAACAAGUGAAAGACAUGGCCUGUGGAAUUUCUGAAGAUUGUGAAAAAUGUGAAAAGAACUUCACGUAUUGGAAACUCAAACUUCGGAGGCGAAUUUCAGGAUUCUAAAGUGGUCAAACCCGCGAAAGUUAGGGACAAACAGACCUGAAAUUUUUUUCUGAUCGAUUUUGAUAUAUGGAACGUUGAAAUCGGAGUUCGUAUGCAAAAGUUAUGGCUGUUUUACGAACAGACUCCGAAUUAGAGGACAAAACGGUCCGAAAGUGGGAAAAAUUUGCGGCGGUGGCUAGAAAUUGAUGGAAACGGUGGGGAAAACACAUGAACUGGACUCUAACAAGACCUAACCAGCAACAAGACCUCGACCAGGACACAAACUCAACACUGCGGACUCUGAAACUGAAAUAUGCAAAGGCUAUGGCGUGGAAGGGUUGUAGGAUGGAAAAACGAUAUGGCACUGGACUUAUGGGACGAACACAACACUCAAAACUAAGGGUAGAUGUGAACCUAAUGGUAUACCUGAAGCUUUGAUUACCACUUGAUGAGAACAAGGGUGGCCCGAUCUUCUGAAUGGUUCUGGUAACUCUCGAUUUGGUGAAGACGAGACACAAAUCGAUCUGGCUUCCGAACAACACGAUCCGAAAUCCCGCAUUUUUUUAUUUUUUUAAUAUUUUCCUUUUACUUAGGAGCACUAAAGAAGUAACCAUAGAAAAAUUGAGCUUAAACAAGUAAAAGACGUGGCCUGCGGAAUUUUGUGAAGAUUACAAAAAAUGUGAAAAAAACUUCACAAG
rnacentral:lncRNA from 1 species